rnacentral:rRNA from 1 species
CCUACGGGAUGCAGCAGUGAGGAAUAUUGGUCAAUGGACGAGAGUCUGAACCAGCCAAGUAGCGUGAAGGAUGACUGCCCUAUGGGUUGUAAACUUCUUUUAUAUAGGAAUACAAUGUUCACCGUGUGGGAUUUUGUAUGUACCCUAUGACUCAGUAUCGGCUAACUCCGUACCCGCAGCCGCGGUACUACGGAGGAUCCGAGCGUUAUCCGGAUUUAUUGGGUUUAAAGGGAGCGUAGGUGGAUUGUUAAGUCAGUUGUGAACUUUUGCGGCUCAACCGUAAAAUUGCAGUUGAAACUGGCAGGCUUGAGUACAGUAGAGGUGGGCGGAAUUCGUGGUGUAGCGGUGAAAUGCUUAGAUAUCACGAAGAACUCCGAUUGCGAAGGCAGCGCACUGGACUGCAACUGACACUGAGGCUCGAAAGUGUGGGUAUCAAACAGGAUUAGAUACCCUAGUAGUC